rnacentral:rRNA from 1 species
CCAGACUCCUACGGGAGGCAGCAGUGGGGAAUAUUGCGCAAUGGGCGAAAGCCUGACGCAGCGACGCCGCGUGAGGGAUGAAGGUUCUCGGAUCGUAAACCUCUGUCAGAAGGGAAGAAAUUAUAUCAUGCUAAUCAGCGGUGUAUUGACGGUACCUGACUAAGAAGCCCCGGCUAACUACGUGCCAGCAGCCGCGGUAAUACGUAGGGGGCAAGCGUUAUCCGGAUUUACUGGGUGUAAAGGGAGCGUAGACGGCAUGGCAAGUCAGAUGUGAAAGCCCGGGGCUCAACCCCGGGACUGCAUUUGAAACUGUCAGGCUGGAGUGCAGGAGAGGUAAGUGGAAUUCCUAGUGUAGCGGUGAAAUGCGUAGAUAUUAGGAGGAACACCAGUGGCGAAGGCGGCUUACUGGACUGUAACUGACGUUGAGGCUCGAAAGCGUGGGGAGCAAACAGGAUUAGAUACCCGUGUAC